AACUUCCACCUGGCUUACCUCCNUCAGUUAUGCGUCAUGACUUGUAUCGUCUUGAGCGUAUUGUGGGUUUCCUGUGUUGCAUACCUAAUAAUGGAAUCGUUUUGGUUGAUUGAAGUCCCUUUUCAUCACGUGUUGCCUUUGUGACGCAUGAUGAACCUCGAAGCGGUCUCUAUGUUCCACCAUGUUGAUGCUAGUGUCUUGAUGUUGUGGCCCAUUGAGUGUUGCUUGGUUUCGUGGAUACAGAACAUGAUUUGGGCAUAGGGUCACCUGUGACUCUUGUUUUGUCCUUUAUCAGUGUUCUUUAUAACGACGGUUCAUGCGCGCCUAGGCUCGUACCUGCGCGAUGUUCUUUGUCGAAGAGGAAUGCUACCUGGUUGAUCCUGCCAGUAGUCAUAUGCUUGUCUCAAAGAUUAAGCCAUGCAU
rnacentral:misc_RNA from 1 species